GCCCCCGCAAGGGGGAGCGGCAGACGGGUGAGUAAACGCGUGGGAAUCUACCAUUUGCUACGGAACAACUCCGGGAAACUGGAGCUAAUACCGUAUGUGCCCUAACGGGGAAAGAUUUAUCGGCAAAUGAUGAGCCCGCGUUGGAUUAGCUAGUUGGUGGGUAAAGGCUACCAAGGCGACGAUCCAUAGCUGGUCUGAGAGGAUGAUCAGCCACACUGGGACUGAGACACGGCCCAGACUCCUACGGGAGGCAGCAGUGGGGAAUAUUGGACAAUGGGCGCAAGCCUGAUCCAGCCAUGCCGCGUGAGUGAUGAAGGCCCUAGGGUUGUAAAGCUCUUUCACCGGUGAAGAUAAUGACGGUAACCGGGAAGAAGCCCCGGCUAACUUCGUG
rnacentral:rRNA from 1 species